AGGGAAUCUUCCACAAUGGACGAAAGUCUGAUGGAGCAACGCCGCGUGAGUGAUGAAGGGUUUCGGCUCGUAAAACUCUGUUGUUGGAGAAGAACGGGUGUCAGAGUAACUGUUGACAUCGUGACGGUAUCCAACCAGAAAGCCACGGCUAACUACGUGCCAGCAGCCGCGGUAAUACGUAGGUGGCAAGCGUUGUCCGGAUUUAUUGGGCGUAAAGCGAGCGCAGGCGGUUUUUUAGGUCUGAUGCGAAAGCCUUCGGCUUAACCGGAGAAGUGCAUCGGAAACCGGGAGACUUGAGUGCAGAAGAGGACAGUGGAACUCCAUGUGUAGCGGUGAAAUGCGUAGAUAUAUGGAAGAACACCAGUGGCGAAGGCGGCUGUCUGGUCUGCAACUGACGCUGAGGCUCGAAAGCAUGGGUAGCGAACAGGAUUAGAUACCCUGGUAGUCCAUGCCGUAAACGAUGAGUGCUAAGUGUUGGAGGGUUUCCGCCCUUCAGUGCUGCAGCUAACGCAUUAAGCACUCCGCCUGGGGGAGUACGACCGCAAGGUUGAAAC
rnacentral:rRNA from 1 species